GACGAACGCUGGCGGCGUGCUUAACACAUGCAAGUCGAACGGAAAGGCCCUGCUCUUGUGGGGUGCUCGAGUGGCGAACGGGUGAGUAACACGUGAGUAACCUGCCCUUGACUUUGGGAUAACUUCAGGAAACUGGGGCUAAUACCGGAUAGGAGCUCCUGCUGCACGGUGGGGGUUGGAAAGUUUCGGCGGUUGGGGCUGGACUGGCGGGUUAUGAGCUUGUUGGUGGAGUAGUGGCUUACCAAGGGUUUGACGGGUAGCCGGCCUGGGAGGUGAGCCGGCCACAUGGGGACUAAGGGAGGCCGCAGACGCGAAUGGGAGGCAGCGGGGGGAAGUAUUGCAGAGUGGCCGGACGCGUGAUGUGGAGGGGCCCCGUGCGGGAAGACGGCUUACGGGUUGAAAACCGCUUUGGCAUUAACCGAGCAGUGAGUGACGGUAACUGAUAAGAAAGCCCCGGCUAACUACGUG
rnacentral:rRNA from 1 species